GGCAGUUCUCAAGUGAUGCACCUGGAAUUGGGCUCCCUCCUCUCUGGUUCCGGGUACAUCACCCGAGAACCACA
rfam:Myotis brandtii contig276813, whole genome shotgun sequence.